rnacentral:rRNA from 1 species
UACGUAGGGUGCGAGCGUUAAUCGGAAUUACUGGGCGUAAAGUGUGCGCAGGCGGCCGCGCAAGUCGAGUGUGAAAGCCCCGGGCUUAACUUGGGAAUUGCGCUCGAAACUACGUGGCUGGAGUGUGGCAGAGGAAGGUGGAAUUCCACGUGUAGCGGUGAAAUGCGUAGGAGAUGUGGAGGAACACCAAUGGCGAAGGCAGCCUUCUGGGCCAACACUGACGCUCAUGACACGAAAGCGUGGGGAGCAACAGG